rnacentral:tRNA from 1 species
GGGCGCGGCUGGUGCGGCGCGGCUGGUUCCGGCGCCCCCGCGUGGCCCCGCCGUCGGAGGGCCUGGCGGGUGCCGCCUGUUCGGCGGCGGGCGCGGGCCCG